rnacentral:tRNA from 1 species
GGUCCCGUAGUGUAGCGGUUAUCACGUCGCUCUGUCACGGCGAAGAUCGCGGGUUCGAUUCCCGUCGGGACCG